rnacentral:rRNA from 1 species
CCCUUAGAUGUUCUGGGCCGCACGCGUGCUACACUGAGUGGAUCAGCGGGUCAGGUUGCGCGAAAGUGUUUCCUAAUCUUUAAAUCCGCUCGUGAUGGGGAUUGACGGUUGCAAUUUUCUGUCAUGAACGAGGAAUACCUUGUAAGCGCGGGUCAUCAUCCCGCGCUGAAUACGUCCCUGCCCUUUGUACACACCGCCCGUCGCUCCUGCCGAUUGAGUGGUCCGGUGAGGCUUUGGGAUCUGAGCGGAAAGAGCGUUUCGCUGUUUCUGCUCGGAAAACUCAGUCGAACCUUAUCAUUUAGAGGAAGGAGAAGUCGUAACA